CAUCAGCUGUCCCAACUCCAUCAUUUAAGGUAAGUUUACAUGUUACAGAACCUACUCUGCCUUCCUGUGGAAGAUGAAGAGCAUUAGAACAGAGUGAAAAAAACCCAAAUUUGUUAAAGCUUUUCUGAUUUGCUCAGACUAACUUCUAAGCUACUGUUUUCCAAUCCUUUUCACAAUGUGCUUCUGUCUUCACAUGACCAUAGGGUGAAACUUUGGGGAGGAUGUGUUGAUUCCAGGUUUUGGGGAUAGGGUAAUUGGUGAUCAAGUCAAUUCCCCCCUCCAACACUCCACAUCCUCACCUCCCCAUUCUCCAUCUCCCACACCUCCUACUCCUUAUCCUCCAUUACCCCUGCAUCUCCCUAUCUCACCAUCUCCCCUCCUAGGUGGUGUAUAAUGUGGGAAAUGGUGAAAUUAUUCACUUUGCAACAGUGUGUAAAAAAAUAUUAUUUAAAUGGAGGAAAUGCAAUAUGAAGGGACUUAUUGUAGUGCACAAAACACUGAAAGCUAGCACACACAUACAGCAGAUAAUCAGGAAGGCUAAUGGAAUUUUGGCCCUUAUUUCAAGGGGGUUGGAGAGUGAAUAUAGGGAAGUCUUAUUGUAACAGUACAAGGUGCUGUUAAUACCAUAGAUGGAAUACUGUGGGCAGUUUUCAUCCCCUCACUGAAGAUAUUUCACUGGAGGCAGUUCAGAGAAGGUUCACUAGGAUGAUCCCUCUUAUGAGCAGAGGCUGAACAGGACACGACUCACUGCAGUUUAGCAGAAUGAUUGGAAUAUUGUCACGUGCCAAAUCGUACCUUACAUAACAUCAGGGCAAUACAACAGAAUGCAGAAUAUAAUGUUACAGCAACAGGGAAGGUGCAGAGGAAGAUCUAAUGUAUAAGAGGUCCAUUCAUAAGUCUUAACAGUGAGGAAGAAGCUGUUUUUCAUUAUGUCAGUAUAUGUUUUCAAUCUUUUUUAUCUUCUGUCUGACAGAAGAAGGUGGAGGAGUGUAUGACAGGGUGAGAGGGGUCUUUGUUGGCUGAAGUGCAGACAAAGUUAAUGAAGGGAAAGCUGGCUGGACUGGGCUAUCCAGUGAAAUCACAUCCCUCCUCCUUACCAACAUUUUAUACAGUUCCAGCAUCACCUCCCUACUCUUCAAUUCAAUGCGUCAACUGAGUGCUGAGACAUUGCAGAGUUCUGAACUGCAGAAGGAUCUGGUCAACAUAAUGAAUACAUCACAAAAGUGACGUCAAGAUAAUUUAUUUAAGGUACAAUGGGAUCUUGAUCAACUGGGCCAAGGAAUGCCAUACGGAGUUUAAUUCAGAUAAAUGCGAGGUAUUCCAUUAUGUUAAGACAACCAAGGGCAGAACUUAGUGUAAUGCUGCAGAAUGCAAACAUUUCCUUCAUCUCAAAACUAAAAGGAGGGACAAAGACUGAAGUCUCCACCACCAACCUCUUUCUCCAGCUAUAACCUCUACUCUGGAAACACUCCUGAAGUUCAGCCAGAUGAUUUGCAUCCUUGCUCUAGUAUUUGAAACUCGAAACGUCGAUACUCCUGUUCCCUAGAUGCUGCCUGACCUGCUGCGCUUUUCCAGCAACACAUUUCCAUCUCCUAUUUGAAACCACUGCAAGGUAAGCAACAGUCUACGUAUCUACUUCAUGACCAGAUAAUCUCUAUUAGGUCCUUGCUUCAAGGGGAACAAUCCCAGUCAAUUCAGGCUUUCCUCAUAGCUCAUACCCUCCAGCUCAUUCAGCAUCGGGUAAAUCUCCUCUGCAGCAUCUUGGAUACAAUCACAUUUUUCCUGUAAUGUAGUAACCACUAGCAGCAUUUUGUACAGAUUCAACAUAACUUCUCUACUCUUUUAUUUUAUGCUUUGGCCAAUAAAAAGGCAAAUAUCCCUUUUUAAAAAACCCUCUAAUCUACUUUCAAGGGUCCUUGAAUAUGAAUAACUAGUUCCCUCUAAUUUUCAUGACUUUCCUAGGUCCUACCAUGUCGUGGUCCAUUGUCUUUUUAGCUCUCCCAAGUACAUUUCCCCAACUCUUCCGGAUUGAAUUCUACUUGCCACUGAAUUGCCAACAUGACCAAUCUAUUGAUGUAUUGCUGCAUCAGUCUCACUAUUUCAUAGAAUUUCUAGCGUGGAAACAGGCCAUUCGGUCUAUUGAGUCCAGACCAAUCAUCUAAAAAGAGUAUCCCAUCCCAGAUCCAUACCCCCUACCCUAUCCCAGUAACCCUGAUCCACCUAGCUUGCACAUCCCU